rnacentral:rRNA from 1 species
AGUGAACGCUGGCGGUAGGCCUAACACAUGCAAGUCGAACGGCAGCACAGUAAGAGCUUGCUCUUACGGGUGGCGAGUGGCGGACGGGUGAGGAAUACAUCGGAAUCUACUUUUUCGUGGGGGAUAACGUAGGGAAACUUACGCUAAUACCGCAUACGACCUACGGGUGAAAGCAGUGGAUCUUCGGACCUUGCGCGAUUGAAUGAGCCGAUGUCGGAUUAGCUAGUUGGCGGGGUAAAGGCCCACCAAGGCGACGAUCCGUAGCUGGUCUGAGAGGAUCAUCAGCCACACUGGAACUGAGACACGGUCCAGACUCCUACGGGAGGCAGCAGUGGGGAAUAUUGGACAAUGGGCGCAAGCCUGAUCCAGCCAUACCGCGUGGGUGAAGAAGGCCUUCGGGUUGUAAAGCCCUUUUGUUGGGAAAGAAAAGCAGCAGGUUAAUACCCCGCUGUUCUGACGGUACCCAAAGAAUAAGCACCGGCUAACUUCGUG